AAUGACUUUUUGUAUUUAGAUGACUUUGACUUGUAAAUCAUGACAUAAACCAGUAGUUGUCAAUCAAAGAGUGUUUUGCUUCAUCAUUUCGUUUCAGUUGAUUUCUUCUCUUAUGCAAUUAAGAUUCAGUGAUCAUUUUCACCUAAUUUCCAUCUAUACCAUCCAUGUCUUCCUUCACUUCAUCCUCCAAAAUCUGCCAGGAAUUUGAAUCCAUAUUAACUACCGAUCCAAAGAAGAGAAGGUACAACGUGUUCUUGAGUUUCUGCGCUCACGAUAAGGGUUAUUUUCUUUCGAGUCUCGAAGAGGCUCUUAGUUUAGAAGCUGGUAUCAAUGUUUUUGGGGACAUUAAGAGGUUUCAGCAUGUAGAGUCUGUGCUGAAUGUAAUUCAAGACUGCAAAGUCGCUGUAGUCUUGUUUUCAAAAAAUUAUACUAAUUCAAGUUCGUGUAUACAAGAAUUGGAGAAAAUAACUCAGUGUUGCCGAACCUCAGAUUUGGUUGUUCUGCCUGUGUUCUAUCAAGGUGUCGGUCCCUUCUAUCAUGGAGAUAUGUUUGGAGGAGACACUUUUCAUGAUUUUCUGGAUAGAAUAUCAAUGGAGGAAAUCUCUAAAGAAGAAGACAAGCUCAUGACCUGGGUAGCAGCGAUCACUAAAGCUAACAAAUAUUUAGGAUCACGUGAUCUCAUACCCAAACCCAUAUACAGGUACGAACAUGUAUCAAUUACGGACUAUAUUAAGGAUAUAGUUGAACAUAUUACAUGUGUGAUAAACAAGAAUAGAGAUUUUUGUGCGAAUUCCUGUACACCCAGUGUAAAAUCUGGUGUGCAAGACGUGAUUCAACUAUUGAAACAAUCAAAAAGUCCUCUCAUAAUAGGGAUAUGGGGGAUGACAGGGAUUGGUAAAUCAACCAUUGCCCAAGCCAUUUACGAUCAAAUUGGUCUUUAUUUUGAACACAAGAGUUUCCUUAAAGACCUUGGGGUACUUUGGGAAGAACAAAAUCAUGAUCAAGUUUUAUUCAAAGGUCAUCAACAUCAUAGGGUACUUCUUGUACUUGAUAAUAUUGAUAAAUUGGAGCAGUUGGAUGUUUUGGGCCUACGAAGAAGUCGUAAAUGGUUUGGUGAAGGUAGCAAAAUAAUCAUCACAACAAGAGAUAGACAUCUACUCAAGAAGCAUGGAAUUGACCAUAUAUAUAGAGUGAAAGAAUUGGAUGAAAGUGAAUCACUUAAAGUUUUUAAUUUAGCUGCAUUCAGCCAAGCAACAACUCCACAAGAAGAUUUUAGUGAACUUUCUAGACAGCUAGUUGCUUAUUCUAGGGGAUUGCCUCUUGCUCUUAAAGAACUUGGGUUCUUUUUGAAUGGAGAGGAAGCACUUAAGUGGAAGAAUGUGUUGAAGAGUCUCAAAAGACUUUCCAUUCCAGCUCCACGACUACAAGAAGCUCUUGAAAAGAGUUUUAGUGAUUUGAGUGAUGAAGAGAAACGAAUAUUCCUUGAUAUAGCAUGUCUCUUUGUUGGGAUGAACCUAAAUGAUGUAAAGCAAAUAUUAAAUAGGUCAACACAAUCUGCAGCUCUCGAGAUAAGUAACCUUGAAGACAAGAGCUUUCUAACCAUUGACGAGAAUAACAAGCUUGGAAUUCAUGUUCUGCUACAAGCCAUGGCGAGAGAUAUCAUUAAAAGAAAAUCAAGCAAUAACACUGAUCAGCCAAAGAUGUAUGAUGUGUUCUUGAGUUUCAGAGGAGAAGACAAUCGGGCAAAGUUCAUGUCACAUCUCUAUUCCUCUCUUCAAAAUGCGGGGAUUUAUGUUUUCAGAGACGAUGACGAGAUUCAACGAGGAGAUCAUAUCUCAAUCUCACUGUUGCGAGCAAUUGAACAGUCUAGAACUUGUAUCGUUGUUUUGUCUACAAAUUAUGCUAAUUCAAGAUGGUGUAUGCUAGAGUUGGAGAAGAUAAUGGAAAUUGGCAGAAACAGGGGUCUGGUCGUUGUGCCAGUAUUUUAUGAGGUAGCUCCAUCAGAAGUACGCCAUCAGGAAGGUCAGUUUGGGAAAUCUUUUGAUGAUCUUAUAUCAAAAAAUUCAGUAGAUGAAUCCACAAAGAGUAAUUGGAAAAGAGAACUCUUUGAUAUUGGUGGAAUAGCAGGGUUUGUCCUCAUAGAUUCCAGGAAUGAAAGUGCUGAUAUCAAGAAUAUUGUUGAACACAUCACCCGUUUGUUAGAUAGGACAGAGUUAUUCGUUGCUGAACAUCCAGUGGGUGUAGAAUCUCGUGUGGAAGCUGUGACUAAGCUACUAAACAUCCAAAACUCAGAUGAUGUUUUAAUUUUGGGGAUAUGGGGAAUGGGGGGUAUGGGGAAAACAACCCUUGCCAAAGCAAUUUAUAAUCAAAUUGGGAGCAAAUUUGAGGGAAGGAGCUUUCUUCUGAAUAUAAGAGAGUUAUGGGAGACAGAUACUAAUCAAGUUUCUCUACAGCAAAAGAUACUUGAUGAUGUUUACAAAACAUUGACAUUCAAGAUACGUGAUCUAGAAUCAGGCAAAAAUAUGUUGAAGGAAAAACUUUCCCAGAAUAGGGUUCUUCUUGUGUUUGAUGAUGUGAAUGAAUUGGAGCAGCUAAAGGCUUUGUGUGGUAGCCGUGAUUGGUUUGGUCCGGGGAGUAGAAUAAUAAUCACAACAAGAGAUAUGCAUCUUCUUAGAUUGUGUGGAGUUUAUCAAAUGUAUACAAUAGAAGAAAUGGACAAAAUUGAAUCACUUAAGCUGUUUAGUUGGCAUGCAUUCAAACAACCAAGUCCAAAAGAAGAUUUUGCUACGCAUUCAACAGAUGUGAUUGCUUAUUCUGGGGGAUUGCCACUAGCACUUGAAGUCCUUGGAUCCUAUUUGGCCGACUGUGAAAUAACUGAGUGGCAAUAUGUUUUGGAGAAACUCAAAUGCAUUCCUCAUGAUCAAGUACAGGAGAAGCUAAAAGUAAGCUUCCAUGGUUUAAAAGAUUUUACAGAGAAACAAAUAUUCCUUGAUAUUGCUUGUUUCUUUAUUGGGAUGGACAAAAAGGAUGUAAUACAGAUAUUAAAUGGUUGUGGGUUUUUUGCUGAUAUUGGGAUUAAAGUUCUUGUUGAGCGAGCCCUUGUAACUGUUGACAAUAGGAACAAGCUAAGAAUGCAUGAUCUGUUAAGAGAUAUGGGAAGACAAAUAAUUUAUGAGGAAGCACCAUCAGAUCCUGAGAAGCGCAGUAGGUUGUGGCGCCAUGGGGAGGUGUUUGAUAUAUUAGAAAAGCGUAAGGGAACAGAAGCUGUCAAGGGACUGGCUUUGGAGUUUCCAAGAAAAGAUUGUUUGGAAACCAAAGCAUUUAAGAAGAUGAAUAAACUCAGAUUGCUUCGCCUUGCUGGGGUGAAGCUGAAGGGAGAUUUUAAGUAUCUUUCAGGAGAUCUUAAGUGGCUGUAUUGGCAUGGAUUUGCAGAACCCUGCUUUCCUGCAGAAUUUCAGCAAGGAAGUCUAGUUUCCGUUGAAUUAAAAUAUAGUAGGCUCAAACAAUUAUGGAACAAGUGCCAGAUGCUUGAAAAUCUAAAAAUUCUUAAUCUUAGUCAUUCUCUAGAUUUGACUGAAACCCCAGACUUUUCCUACUUACCUAAUCUUGAAAAGCUUGUGCUAAAAAACUGUCCAAGUUUGUCCACGGUCUCCCAUAGCAUUGGAUCUCUACAUAAACUUAUUUUGAUAAAUUUGAGAGGCUGCACAGGUCUUCGGAAACUCCCAAGAAGCAUCUAUAAAUUAAAAUCGUUAGAAACUUUGAUUCUUUCUGGAUGUUCUAUGAUUGAAAAACUGGAGGAGGACUUGGAACAGAUGGAAUCGUUGAUUACCUUGAUUGCCGAUAAGACUGCCAUCACAAAAGUGCCAUUUUCAAUAGUAAGGAUGAAAAGCAUUGGAUAUAUUUCUUUUUGUGGCUUUGAAGGAUUUUCACGUGAUGUAUUCCCUUCUCUCAUUCGGUCUUGGAUGUCGCCAUCAAAUAAUGUGAUAUCCCUUGUUCAAACAUCUGUGUCCAUGUCAUCACUUGGGACUUCCAAAGACCUUCAAAAACUUCGAAUUCUUUGUGUGGAGUGUGGUUCAGAUCUGCAACUAACUCAAGAUAUAGUAAGAUUUCUGGGUGUACUAAAAGCCACAAGUUAUCAGAAAUUGGAAGCAAGUGCUAUUUCAAUUCCUUCAGAGAUCUCUGAUAUGUAUGCUUCUCCCUUAAUUGAUGAUUUUCUAGGUAAAGUUUGCACUUCAGGGUCAAUGAAUCACUUGAAAUCUCUCUUAAUUCAAAUGGGAACAAAAUGCCAAGUCUCCGAUAUUGCUGUAGAUGUUUUACAGACUGCAGAUGAGACUUGGGAUUCGUUUUUCCUCCCCUGUGACAAUAAUUCUGAAUGGUCAAGCUUUAGUUGCAAAGGUUGUUCCAUAAUAUUUGAUAUCCCAACAAUAAAGGGACGAAACCUGAAGAGUAUGAUCUUGUUCGUUGUCUAUUACUCUUCCUCGGAAAACAUAACAUCAGAUAGUUGCCAAGGUGUGUUGAUCAUAAAUUACACAAAAAGAACCAUUCAGGUUUAUAAAAGAGAUACGCUAACCUCGUUUGAGGAUGAGGAUUGGCAGAGCAUAACAUCUAAUCUAGAACCUGGUAACAAAGUGGAGGUAAUGGUUGUAUUUGGGGAGGGUUUCAUUGUUGAGAAGACUACAAUAUCUCUCUUAUAUGAUGAACCAGUCAACAAAGAAAUGGAAUGUUGUCAUGUAGUAGACGUGGAUGAUGUUAUUGUUUCUGGAAAUGACGAUAAUAAUGUUGGUGUUUCUAGUGGUGAUAAUGAAGUCAUUAAUCAGUUUGGAGAGGAAACGCCGAACCAUUUGCAGAUCAUUAGUCCCGCAGAUGGGUGGUAUGCCGAUGUUGUGGGACCGGUACUGCUAGUACCAUAUGACCUUCACCAGCUUGCGGAGGCAGAAGCUGAGGAGCUUCAUGCAGCUGAAGAAAAACAUGAUCAGGAGCAACAGGUUCUUCCACUUAAGUGUGAGCCUGAACAGCAUGCAAUAGUAGCGUCAGCGACCAUAGAACCUACUCUAGGAGCUCAGAUUUUGGAUGCUAUCAGAGAGCUCAGGGCUGAUUUCAUCAGACAAGAGCUGACUGUUACUGCUAGGUUGAAUGCAGUAGAUGUGAGAUUGGAGAGGCUUGAGGAUGGCAUUGCCCACAUACUGCAUGGGUCGAGUUUUGAGUCCACUCAUUCUUAGGAUUCUUUCGAUAAUGUUAUUCAUUUCAUUGUUUUAUUGUAAGGUUUUUCUAUAAUGUCUAUGGUAUUAGAAUUGUGCACCCAAAUUCCUUUUAAGUAUAGCACCACAUCAAAGCCUCAAUCUAUCUAUAUAUAAAGUACAUGUUACAAUAUA